UCUGAGAGCGAGACGCUGUGAGAGGACCUCGAUAAAGUGUGAUGCUCUGCUGGGUGAAAGCACACUGCUGAAAGAAGCAGAUAAAGAGGUGAGGUGGAGGGAGAAACAGAUGGGAGGCUAGGGUGGAGGUCGAGGGAUGCUACAGUAACUCGUGCUGAAAGCGGUGACAGUCUCUCCAAACUACUGACUGUUUGGCCAUGGGCUUCAGAAAUACAAUUUUCCUGAAGGUGCAGUGUCUCAUGCAAAUACAAUCUUGGGUCAACACGGCCUUCCUCCACUGCGGUCCUUAGAAAGGCAUCCUGGAAUUCUUCACAUCCAACAGCCAUUCCUUCAAUUCCUUCCUGUCAUUCAACGCAGCAGACAUUUCCUCUCAUUUAUAUUUGGAUUUUAUUAGUUUGCACAUCGGAGAUGAUCCUUGACCUGACAGAUGUCCUUUGUGUCUUUAAUGAAAGAGAAUUUUUCCCACAUGACUCCAUCGAGUCCUUAAUGAAUCUCGGAGAUAUCUGAAGGAAUGUAGUCCUUAUUUGAGCAGAUGAUAAUGGAGAUAUAGGCCAAAGUGAGUUAUCUGAAUUGCAUAUAUUAAUUACAGAUUGAUGGUUGGUGAACGAGCUGCUCCAUAAUGACUUCCCAAGGGCUUCUUAUGGAAAUUCUGCAGUCCUUACAAAAACAACAUUAGAUCUCGGAUCCUCUGGGUCUUACACACUAUAAUACCACAUAAGCAUCCUUGGUAAACAAGCCUCUGAAUAUUCACGCUCAGUCAAGCGAGUUUACUUAUCAAACAUUGGAUUGGGAGAUGUGUAGGGUCUUUGAAUAUUUCAUUGUGAUGAGAGAAAGGCAUCAUAAGUGAUGGAAUGUAAGCGCUAAAAUCUGUCUGUAUUUGUAACACUUCAUGAUAUUGAUUGCAAUCAAAAAGCAAGUCGAGAUCUUCUUACUGGAGAUCUGAGAGGAAC
ensembl:lncRNA